GAUGAGGCGAGGUGGAGGCGGAGGAGCUGACGAGAUGGAGGCGGAGGAGCCGGCAAUCAAGUUAGGAGAGAAAGAGGAUAACUUAAGGGAUUAGUAUAAUAAGGUAGGGGUAAAAUAGGUAUUUUAUAUAGGUUUUAACUCUAGUAUACAUUUAACCCAUGUUUAACCCGAGUUAAGCUAACAGGGGAUAACUGCGGGGGUAUUUUGGAAUAACGGUGGAACAUAUGAGUGGCAUUUUAGAAAGAAAAAAAAGUAAGGAUAGAUCGGAUAUUUUCAGACGCAUGAGGGGUAUAUAGGCAAUUAUCCCUAAAUUUU
rnacentral:lncRNA from 1 species